rnacentral:lncRNA from 1 species
CUGAACAUCCAAAGCAGUGCUGUUUAUGUGACAGCUACAAAUAAAUGCUUAAUUACGUAUUAUUCCUUUUCCUCAAUCCCUUACUCCAUCUUUCCCAAAACGUUAUUUGUCAUAAACAGAAAAUGACCUUAGAACAUGGACCACAUCAACUCAUUACUCAUGAAAUAAAUAACUGUCAGGCUCAGUUUGUUUCUGAGGCUAACGGGGUGACCAAGACAGAGGUAAGAGAACCCAGAACUCUCCUUGCACGCCCAGCUCGGCGGCCCCACAUGCCGCGGGUCUAGGGUCGCGCUAGCAGAGGCCUGGCACAACCGCCAGACUCCUGAUCCCGAGAUCCGCGCUCCGACUUUGGGCAGUAUGGCCAUUUUCACAAUAUUGAUUCUUCCUAUCCAUGAGCAUUUUUCCAUUUGUUUGUGUCCUCUCUUAUUUCCUUGAGCAGUGGCUUAUAAUUCUCCUUGAAGAGGUCCUUCACAUCCCUUGUAAGUUGUAUUCCUAGGUAUUUUAUUCUCUUUGUAGCAAUUGUGAAUGGGAGUUCACUCAUGAUUUGGCUCUCUGUUUGUUAC